CCUACGAGUGGCUGCAGUGGGGAAUAUUGGACAAUGGGGGCAACCCUGAUCCAGCCAUGCCGCGUGUGUGAAGAAGGCCCUCGGGUUGUAAAGCACUUUCAGUGAGGAAGAACGCCUGGUGGUUAAUACCCAUCAGGAAAGACAUCACUCACAGAAGAAGCACCGGCUAACUCCGUGCCAGCAGCCGCGGUAAUACGGAGGGUGCGAGCGUUAAUCGGAAUUACUGGGCGUAAAGCGCGCGUAGGUGGCUUGAUAAGCCGGUUGUGAAAGCCCCGGGCUCAACCUGGGAACGGCAUCCGGAACUGUCAAGCUAGAGUGCAGGAGAGGAAGGUAGAAUUCCCGGUGUAGCGGUGAAAUGCGUAGAGAUCGGGAGGAAUACCAGUGGCGAAGGCGGCCUUCUGGACUGACACUGACACUGAGGUGCGAAAGCGUGGGUAGCAAACAGGAUUAGAUACCCUUGUAGUC
rnacentral:rRNA from 1 species